rnacentral:rRNA from 1 species
AGCAGCCGCGGUAAUUCCAGCUCCAAUAGCGUAUAUUAAAGUUGUUGCAGUUAAAAAGCUCGUAGUUGAACUUCGGGGUUUACCCAUUGGUCAGGCUUAAUUGUCUGUACUGGUGAGAUAAAUCUCUACCUUCUGAGGAACUUUCAUGCCAUUUAGUUGGUGUGAUAGGAAAUCAGGACUGUUACUUUGAAAAAAUUAGAGUAUUUAAAGCAGGCUAACGUCUGAAUACAUUGGCAUGGAAUAAUGAAAUAGGACGGAUUGGUUCUAUUUCGUUGGUUUCUAGGAUCACCGUAAUGAUUAAUAGGGAUAGUUGGGGGCAUUAGUAUUCAAUUGUCAGAGGUGAAAUUCUUGGAUUUAUUGAAGACUAACUAUUGCGAAAGCAUUUGCCAAGGAUGUUUUCAUUAAUCAAGAACGAAAGUUAGGGGAUCGAAGACGAUCAGAUACCGUCGU